AAGGAACUUUUACCUAGGCGUGUAGUUUCCCUUGAUGGCAUAUGUAUUAAAGAAGUUGCCUGUGGUGGUGUUCACACCUGUGCUGUGACUGCGAAAGGGGCUCUUUAUGCUUGGGGUGGAGGUCAGGCUGGGCAAUUGGGAGUUGGGCCAUUAAAUGGAUUCUUUUCAUGCAAGCUCAAUGAAUCUGAGAUGAUGCUCCGAAAUAUACCAGUGUUGGUUGUUCCAGAUGGUGUGCAACUCGUUGCAUGUGGUCAUUCACACACACUUACUUCUGCUAAAGACGGACGAAUACAUGGAUGGGGUUAUAACUGCUAUGGUCAAGCGGCUAAUGAGAAGUCUACAUAUGCCUGGUGUCCAUCACCAGUUGAUUGGUGUGUUGGGGCAGUCCGAAAAUUGGCUGCUGGUGGUGGACAUUCAGCAGUGCUGACUGAUGCAUGCUCUCUAAAAGAGCUGUGUGAAUUUAGGCUUGCAGAAACAGUGAAUCCAUCCAAUGCUUCAGUGGUUGAGGAUGUCGCCUCAAGAACAGGAGCUGAUGCUUU
rnacentral:misc_RNA from 1 species